CUCCUGGAACUGCCCAAAUUGGAGAGGGAAUAGAAAAUGCUUGGGGUGAGCCUGAAGACUCUGAGAAGGACGAUGAGGAUGAAGGUGGCAGUGAUGAAGCUGUCAUUCUUGACAGUGUGAAAAUGGACACUGGAAUAGAAAUUUCUGAUUCUGGAAGCCAAGAUGCCCCUAUAGUGCUCUCAGACAGUGAAGAAGAAGAACUGAUCAUCUUAGAACCAGAACCACACAAAAAUCCAAAGAAAAUAAGAACACAAACCCCCAGUGGGAAACAAGAAAAAGCACCAGGCAAAAGGCCAAUGAAAAAGAGAAAGAAGAAGAGAACUGCUAAUUAAAGCCAUCCUAGUUGAGUAUUUGUAUAUAACUAUUAAAAGGCUAUUUAUUCAGUA